GAUUCUACACCUUCAGGGAUCACGUCUAUGGUUCGUUACCAGCGACGUCUCUCUGAACGUGUGUGGACACCGGAACCACCAGGAGGAGGUGCCGCGUCCCCUCCUGAGCAUGAAGCCAGCUCCUGGUGUUGCUUCUGCCAUGGCCUCGGCCAUUGAAGAUUGUUCCUCCCACUCUUAGAAGGGGAGAAGGAAAGGACACAUUCUGA